UUUUUCCAUUCUAAUUACUGUUAACCCUUUUAUCUAAUUUUUUUUGUGUUAAUUUUAAUUGUUUGUGGAUUAAAAUUAAUUUAUUCUCUUUUCUGGUUCGAGAACUACUUGCUCCCAGCCUAUUAUUUAGUGAAAAGAACGAUCAAAAUCAACGAAAUCAUAAUGAAAAUUGAAAGUAAUCAAUUUUUCUCCAUCUUAGAUUCUUACUGAUUGUACAUAAUUAAAUUGUCCUAGUUCAUUUAUUGGGACAAUUAUGGAAGCUAAUUUUUCCGUCUUGACCUGAAAGCUGAAAAGUGAACUUGCUGUGAAAUAAAUGAAUUUGGUGUUCACCAUGGUAAAAAACAAAUUCUCUCAGUUUUAAUGGUCUUCAAUGUGUAUUUAUCCGAUUCUUUUACUUGUUUUUUGUUUUUAAUUCACCGAAAAUUCAAAAGCAUGUUAACAAUUAAUCUUUUGACAAAUGAUAUGAUUGAUUUGCUUUUAAAUUGUGACUUUCUUGACGUUUGCAUUGCAGUUUGUUUCAUAUUCGUGGUAAUUAACCAGCUUGAUGGUGGAAGAUUAAAGAAGAUGAUCGAAAUUAUUAUGAAUAAAGCUAAAAACGAGAAGAUAAAUAAUUUAUAACAGUUGAUUUUGCUCCAGCGAGAAACAAA